UCAUCGGUGUCAUUAAUGAAAGGGUGGAUGU
rnacentral:piRNA from 1 species